rnacentral:rRNA from 1 species
CCUACGGGAGGCAGCAGUGGGGAAUAUUGGACAAUGGGCGAAAGCCUGAUCCAGCAAUGCCGCGUGAGUGAUGAAGGCCUUUGGGUCGUAAAGCUCUUUUACCAGGGAUGAUAAUGACAGUACCUGGAGAAUAAGCUCCGGCUAACUCCGUGCCAGCAGCCGCGGUAAUACGGAGGGAGCUAGCGUUGUUCGGAAUUACUGGGCGUAAAGAGUACGUAGGCGGUUAUUCAAGUCAGAGGUGAAAGCCCGGGGCUCAACCCCGGAACUGCCUUUGAAACUAGAUAACUAGAGUCUUGGAGAGGUUAGUGGAAUUCCGAGUGUAGAGGUGAAAUUCGUAGAUAUUCGGAAGAACACCAGUGGCGAAGGCGACUAACUGGACAAGUACUGACGCUGAGGUACGAAAGCGUGGGGAGCAAACAGGAUUAGAUACCCUGGUAGUCCACGCCGUAAACGAUGAUAACUAGUUGUUCGGUCACUUGGUGACUGAGUGACGCAGCUAACGCAUUAAGUUAUCCGCCUGGGGAGUACGGUCGCAAGNUUAAAACUCAAAGGAAUUGACGG